UGCGUAUGCAGCAAGUGCCAGGUCGACGUCAAGGCACGUAGGAGCACGUUGGCCACUCCCGCUUACGUUGGCUGCGCGCGUACAUCGAACUAUUGACGUCGUCGUUCUUGCCAAAGUAGUGUGUGUGUGUGCGUGUGCGUACAUGCGCUCACGCUACUAAGGACUGCGUACACGUCUUAAGGAGCCUUCGCUGUUGAGAUGUCGUAGCUCUCGUAAGGAAACGAAAACUGACUCGCCCUCCCUGCCUUGUGAGUGCAGAUAUCCACCGAAGCUGUUACAAAACCGCCACUACAACUGCUGAGGAAGUUGUCAACUCAAGCUAUGAAACAUGAACGAGUUUUCUGGGAAAAAGUGCAAGCAAGAGUACCGUAAGUUCCACCUUUUCGGCAUCUCCUAGGGAUGGCCCGAUGAGAAGUCCAAGGAACGUACUUCACCAGUUCGUCUGGGGUCAUGCACCGUUUUCCAUAACCGACCGCUCUCAGCAUAGCUGGGCAAGUGCAGAAUAAUGCAUGCAAGCUUACCUGUUUGUAUUUUUGCACAUUGUCUUUAUAACUUCUGCCGAGAAGAAAAGUAGGGAGACUGGUGAAAGUAAUAGAAAGUAAAAACUGUAUUGCGCUGCUCCGUAGUGCUUGACCGAGAUAAUCUAUGGACAGCCUUCUUGGCGGGACCGGAAGUUUCUUUGCGGUCGAUAGCAGCACAUCAUGACCAAGCGUAGCAUGGACCCUGAUGAUAAUUAUAACUUUCGGGUCGUGCAAAAAGAUCGGCACAUAAGCACGCACAAGGAAGGAUACUACU